rnacentral:tRNA from 1 species
GAGGGUAUAGCUCAGUAGUAGAGUGCAUGCCUAGCAUGCACGAGGUCCUGGGUUCAAUCACCAGUAUCUCCA